ACACAUGCAAGUCGGACGAACCUUCGGGUUAGUGGCGGACGGGUGAGUAACGCGUGAGAAUCUGCCCUCAGGAGGGGGACAACAGCUGGAAACGGCUGCUAAUACCCCAUAUGCCGCGAGGUGAAAUGAAUUUCGCCUGAGGAUGAGCUCGCGUCUGAUUAGCUAGUUGGUGUAGGUAAUGGCUCACCAAGGCAUCGAUCAGUAGCUGGUCUGAGAGGAUGAUCAGCCGCACUGGGACUGAGACACGGCCCAGACUCCUACGGGAGGCAGCAGUGGGGAAUUUUCCGCAAUGGGCGAAAGCCUGACGGAGCAACGCCGCGUGAGGGAUGAAGGCCUCUGGGCUGUAAACCUCUUUUAUCAAGGAAGAAGAUCUGACGGUACUUGAUGAAUAAGCCACGGCUAAUUCCGUGCCAGCAGCCGCGGUAAUACGGGAGUGGCAAGCGUUAUCCGGAAUUAUUGGGCGUAAAGCGUCCGCUGGCGGCCCUUCAAGUCUGCUGUUAAAAAGUGGAGCUUAACUCCAUCAUGGCAGUGGAAACUGUUGGGCUUGAGUGUGGUAGGGGCAGAGGGAAUUCCCGGUGUAGCGGUGAAAUGCGUAGAUAUCGGGAAGAACACCAGUGGCGAAGGCGCUCUGCUGGGCCAUCACUGACGCUCAUGGACGAAAGCCAGGGGAGCGAAAGGGAUUAGAUACCCCUGUAGUCCUGGCCGUAAACGAUGAACACUAGGUGUCGGGGGAAUCGACCCCCUCGGUGUCGUAGCCAACGCGUUAAGUGUUCCGCCUGGGGAGUACGCACGCAAGUGUGAAACUCAAAGGAAUUGACGGGGGCCCGCACAAGCGGUGGAGUAUGUGUUUAAUUCGAUGCAACGCGAAGAACCUUACCAGGGUUUGACAUCCUGCGAAUCUCUUGAAACAGGAGAGUGCCUUCGGGACGCAGUGACAGGUGGUGCAUGCUGUCGUCAGCUCGUGUCGUGAGAUGUGGAUAGUCCGCACGAGCGCACCACGUCUUAGUGCAGCAUUAGUGGUACUCUAGAGAGACUGCG
rnacentral:rRNA from 1 species